rnacentral:rRNA from 1 species
UCAGCUCGUGUCGUGAGAUGUUGGGUUAAGUCCCGCAACGAGCGCAAACCCCUCGUACCUUAGUUGCCAGCAUUCAGUUGGGCACUCUAAGGUGACUGCCGGCUAAAAGUCGGAGGAAGGUGGGGAUGACGUCAAAUCAUCAUGCCCCUUAUGACCUGGGCUACACACGUGCUACAAUGGGCGGUACAAAGGGUCGCGAACCCGCGAGGGGGAGCCAAUCCCAAAAAGCCGCUCUCAGUUCGGAUUGCAGGCUGCAACUCGCCUGCAUGAAGCCGGAAUCGCUAGUAAUCGCGGAUCAGCAUGCCGCGGUGAAUACGUUCCCGGGCCUU